rnacentral:rRNA from 1 species
GACGAACGCUGGCGGCGUGCUUAACACAUGCAAGUCGAGCGGUAAGGCCCUUUCGGGGGUACACGAGCGGCGAACGGGUGAGUAACACGUGGGUGACCUGCCCUCAGCUCUGGGAUAAGCCUGGGAAGCCGGGUCUAAUACUGGAUAUGACUCCAUGACGCAUGUUGUGGGGUGGAAAGCCUUGUGCGGCUGAGGAUGGGCCCGCGGCCUAUCAGCUUGUUGGUGGGGUGAUGGCCUACCAAGGCGACGACGGGUAGCCGGCCUGAGAGGGCGACCGGCCACACUGGGACUGAGACACGGCCCAGACUCCUACGGGAGGCAGCAGUGGGGAAUCUUGCGCAAUGGGCGAAAGCCUGACGCAGCGACGCCGCGUGAGGGAUGACGGCCUGGU